rnacentral:rRNA from 1 species
UACGUAGGGGGCAAGCGUUGUCCGGAAUCAUUGGGCGUAAAGCGCGUGUAGGCGGUUCGGUAAGUCCGCUGUGAAAGUCGGGGGCUCAACCCUCGAAAGCCGGUGGAUACUGUCGGACUAGAGUACGGAAGAGGCGAGUGGAAUUCCUGGUGUAGCGGUGAAAUGCGCAGAUAUCAGGAGGAACACCGGUGGCGAAGGCGGGUCUCUGGGCCGAUACUGACGCUGAGGAGCGAAAGCGUGGGGAGCGAACAGG